UACGAAGGGUGCAAGCGUUACUCGGAAUUACUGGGCGUAAAGCGUGCGUAGGUGGUUUGUUAAGUCUGUUGUGAAAGCCCCGGGCUCAACCUGGGAAUGGCAAUGGAUACUGGCAGGCUAGAGUGCGGUAGAGGGUAGUGGAAUUCCCGGUGUAGCGGUGAAAUGCGUAGAGAUCGGGAGGAACACCAGUGGCGAAGGCGGCCGGCUGGGGGUGACCUGACGCUGAGGCGCGAAAGCGUGGGGAGCGAACCGG
rnacentral:rRNA from 1 species